UACAGGGGGUGCAAACGUUGCUCGGAAUUACUGGGCGUAAAGCGUGCGCAGGCGGUGAUGUAAGACAGAUGUGAAAUCCCCGGGCUCAACCUGGGAACUGCAUUUGUGACUGCAUCGCUGGAGUGCGGCAGAGGGGGAUGGAAUUCCGCGUGUAGCAGUGAAAUGCGUAGAUAUGCGGAGGAACACCGAUGGCGAAGGCAAUCCCCUGGGCCUGCACUGACGCUCAUGCACGAAAGCGUGGGGAGCAAACAGG
rnacentral:rRNA from 1 species